CUAAGACUGGAUAGGAGACAAGAAGGCGUCUUCUUGUUUUUAAAAGACCUAGCAAUAGGUAUGCUUAGGGAGGAGCUUGCGUCACAUUAGUUAGUUGGUGGGGUAAAGGCCUACCAAGACUAUGAUGUGUAGCCGGGCUGAGAGGUUGAACGGCCACAUUGGGACUGAGACACGGCCCAAACUCCUACGGGAGGCAGCAGUAGGGAAUUUUCGGCAAUGGAGGAAACUCUGACCGAGCAACGCCGCGUGAACGAUGAAGUAUUUCGGUACGUAAAGUUCUUUUAUUAGGGAAGAAUAAAUGAUGGAAAAAUCAUUCUGACGGUACCUAAUGAAUAAGCCCCGGCUAACUAUGUGCCAGCAGCCGCGGUAAUACAUAGGGGGCAAGCGUUAUCCGGAAUUAUUGGGCGUAAAGGGUGCGUAGGCGGUUAAAUAAGUUUAUGGUCUAAGUGCAAUGCUCAACAUUGUGAUGCUAUAAAAACUGUUUAGCUAGAGUAAGAUAGAGGCAAGUGGAAUUCCAUGUGUAGUGGUAAAAUGCGUAAAUAUAUGGAGGAACACCAGUAGCGAAGGCGGCUUGCUGGGUCUUUACUGACGCUGAGGCACGAAAGCGUGGGGAGCAAACAGGAUUAGAUACCCUGGUAGUCCACGCCGUAAACGAUGAGUACUAAACGUUGGGUAAAACCAGUGUUGAAGUUAACACAUUAAGUACUCCGCCUGAGUAGUACGUACGCAAGUAUGAGACUUAAAGGAAUUGACGGGACUCCGCACAAGCGGUGGAUCAUGUUGUUUAAUUCGAAGGUAUCCGAAAAACCUCACCAGGUCUUGACAUGCUUCUGCAAAGCUGUAGAAACACAGUGGAGGUUAUCAGUUGCACAGGUGGUGCAUGGUUGUCGUCAGCUCGUGUCGUGAGAUGUUGGGUUAAGUCCCGCAACGAGCGCAACCCUUAUUGUUAGUUACCAGCACGUAAUGGUGGGGACUUUAGCAAGACUGCCAGUGAUAAAUUGGAGGAAGGUGGGGACGACGUCAAAUCAUCAUGCCCCUUAUGACCUGGGCUACAAACGUGAUACAAUGGCUGUUACAAAGUGUAGCUGAAGCGCAAGUUUUUGGCGAAUCUCAAAAAAACAGUCUCAGUUCGGAUUGAAGUCUGCAACUCGACUUCAUGAAGUUGGAAUCGCUAGUAAUCGCGAAUCAGCAUGUCGCGGUGAAUACGUUCUCGGGGUUUGUACACACCGCCCGUCA
rnacentral:rRNA from 1 species